rnacentral:rRNA from 1 species
AAAGAUGAGGGGGGGGCCCAAUGCAUGCAAGUCGAACGAACUCUGGGUAUUGAUUGGUGCUUGCAUCAUGAUUUACAUUUGAGUGAGUGGCGAACUGGUGAGUAACACGUGGGAAACCUGCCCAGAAGCGGGGGAUAACACCUGGAAACAGAUGCUAAUACCGCAUAACAACUUGGACCGCAUGGUCCGAGUUUGAAAGAUGGCUUCGGCUAUCACUUUUGGAUGGUCCCGCGGCGUAUUAGCUAGAUGGUGGGGUAACGGCUCACCAUGGCAAUGAUACGUAGCCGACCUGAGAGGGUAAUCGGCCACAUUGGGACUGAGACACGGCCCAAACUCCUACGGGAGGCAGCAGUAGGGAAUCUUCCACAAUGGACGAAAGUCUGAUGGAGCAACGCCGCGUGAGUGAAGAAGGGUUUCGGCUCGUAAAACUCUGUUGUUAAAGAAGAACAUAUCUGAGAGUAACUGUUCAGGUAUUGACGGUAUUUAACCAGAAAGCCACGGCUAACUACGUGCCAGCAGCCGCGGUAAUACGUAGGUGGCAAGCGUUGUCCGGAUUUAUUGGGCGUAAAGCGAGCGCAGGCGGUUUUUUAAGUCUGAUGUGAAAGCCUUCGGCUCAACCGAAGAAGUGCAUCGGAAACUGGGAAACUUGAGUGCAGAAGAGGACAGUGGAACUCCAUGUGUAGCGGUGAAAUGCGUAGAUAUAUGGAAGAACACCAGUGGCGAAGGCGGCUGUCUGGUCUGUAACUGACGCUGAGGCUCGAAAGUAUGGGUAGCAAACAGGAUUAGAUACCCUGGUAGUCCAUACCGUAAACGAUGAAUGCUAAGUGUUGGAGGGUUUCCGCCCUUCAGUGCUGCAGCUAACGCAUUAAGCAUUCCGCCUGGGGAGUACGGCCGCAAGGCUGAAACUCAAAGGAAUUGACGGGGGCCCGCACAAGCGGUGGAGCAUGUGGUUUAAUUCGAAGCUACGCGAAGAACCUUACCAGGUCUUGACAUACUAUGCAAAUCUAAGAGAUUAGACGUUCCCUUCGGGGACAUGGAUACAGGUGGUGCAUGGUUGUCGUCAGCUCGUGUCGUGAGAUGUUGGGUUAAGUCCCGCAACGAGCGCAACCCUUAUUAUCAGUUGCCAGCAUUAAGUUGGGCACUCUGGUGAGACUGCCGGUGACAAACCGGAGGAAGGUGGGGAUGACGUCAAAUCAUCAUGCCCCUUAUGACCUGGGCUACACACGUGCUACAAUGGAUGGUACAACGAGUUGCGAACUCGCGAGAGUAAGCUAAUCUCUUAAAGCCAUUCUCAGUUCGGAUUGUAGGCUGCAACUCGCCUACAUGAAGUCGGAAUCGCUAGUAAUCGCGGAUCAGCAUGCCGCGGUGAAUACGUUCCCGGGCCUUGUACACACCGCCCGUCACACCAUGAGAGUUUGUAACACCCAAAGUCGGUGGGGUAACCUCUAGGAACCAGCCGCCUAAAGGGUGAAUUAA